AGUUGCAGAAAUCUAAAUAUUUCAUGCAAAAAGAAAGAAAGAAAAAAAAAGAAGCAUGCAGAGAAAUGAAACCAUCAUCUAAUAGGGACAUGCAAAAUAUAAAAAUCACAGCAAGGAAUUUUUAUUCUAUAAGUUGGAGAUCCGAUUAGAAAUAUAUCAGCAUACAGUAAAAUGAAGCCAUCUCCUAGGAGUAACAGAUGAAGUCAAACAGAAUAGUAAGGAUUUUGAGGCAAGU
rnacentral:sRNA from 1 species